CUUGCUUGCUUGCUCUCUUUUCUAUAUGUUGAUACCAGUGGUGUAUGACGUGCAUUAAAACACUUGCAUCCAUUGUGUUUUCUGUGCAAACCCCCACGUGUCUGCUCGUCGCCGUCCUAUUUCACAGCAUCAACACACUUUAUCCAUUUAGAAAAGCAGUAAUUUCACCCUGGAUACUCUCCCGCCUACUGUACCUUCACUACUUCCUCCAUCUGUAUGAUGCAUCUGAUGUGUUACAGGCUUCAACUGUGAGAUGAUGCAACACUCUUCGCCACAAGUGUGUGAUGAAGUUGACACAUCGAGGUUUCAGCAGCAUACACAAGACUUUUUAAGAUCCUUUAUAGAAUCCAAUUUAAUACCUUUUUCACAUCUUACCAGUCAAAGAACACCGGAAAACCAGCAGGGACAAUAAGGUCUACAAUGUUUUCUUCAGAACGUGAUGUUUGAAGCAGGAUGGACCACAGAGACGCUGUGCAGUUGCUACAUUUCAAUAAAAGAACCGAGUGGCAUCAGGAAUGCCUCCUGGAGUACCUGUGUGCCAUCUGGGCCGAUCUGGUCCAGAGCUCCGGCGGUGCUGUACAGGAAACGA